rnacentral:rRNA from 1 species
GACGAACGCUGGCGGCGUGCUUAACACAUGCAAGUCGAACGAAGUGGCGAACGGGUGAGUAACGCGUAAUCAACCUGCCCUUCAGAGGGGGACACCAGUUGGAACCGACUGCUAAUACCGCAUACUGAAGGAGGGGAUUGCGUCUGAGUAGCUAGUUGGAGGGGUAACGGCCCACCAAGGCGAUGAUCAGUAGCCGGUCUGGGAGGAUGAACGGCCACAUUGGGAAUGAGACACGGGCCAGACUCCUACGGGAGGCAGCAGUGGGGAAACUUCCGCCAUGGAGGAAAGGCUGAAGGAGCAACGCCGCGGGAGUGGUGACGGCCUUCGGGGUGGAAAGGUCUGUUAAUCGGGACGCGGUACCGGAAUAGAAAGCCACGGCUAACUACGUGCCAGCAGCCGCGGUAAUAC